rnacentral:lncRNA from 10 species
UGCUAUAAAGUGCUGUCUGAAACUGGGUAAUUUAUGAAGAAAAGAGGUUUAAUUGACUCACAGUUCCACAUGGCUGGGGAGGCCUCAGGAAACUUACAAUCAUGAUGGAAGGUGAAGGGAAAGCAAGGCACCUUCUUCACGAUCAUGGUGGAAGAGAUUCAGGCAAGUCUCAUGUGGCAGCAGGCAAGAGAGAGAGAAGGGAUUCUGGUCCAGAAGUCCCCCCUGGCAGCUGUCACCCUACGGAUUUGCAGAGAUGAACUCUCUUACUGGGCCUCCAGUGGAAGUGAGAAGGAAGCUGAUUUCUGCAGAGGAAGACAGGGAGAUGACAGGUUUCUUUGAUAGAUGUUUGAAUUUUGUUUUUCUAGGGCAAGGCAACUCAUUUGGUGGACAUAACAGGCAAUCUGGUCUCCACACAGACAAUCCAGAUGGUUGUUACGAGUUGAGAGGAGCUGGCCAUCGGGAGGCUCAGGCCAGCUCUUUUAUUACAGACCAUCUUCUCCCCACAGUCUGCAAGCUGCAUGGUUUCCUCUGAAGGACUGCGUGUUUAAAAAUUCAAACAUCCAUACGACUCUUUAUUUUCAAAAAUUAAGUGCUACAUAGAAGUAUGCUAAACUCAAGGCCAUGAAAUACUAUCCAGUUUUGCCAUCUUCCUAAGGCAAAAUGCUCAUGAGUUGGAAGCAUGGGACACAUUAAUCAACAUAGAGCUAAUCCUGGCUCUGACCUUAGCUCACUGUAUGGCCUCAGACCACUCACGUCUCUUCUCUGGAUUUUAUCCACCUCCAAGUGUAAAUAGUCUUGGGUCCCUAUCAGUUUUGACAGAAAAUGAUAGGUUUAAUUCAAUAAGUCUGUCUCAAUUCGAAUCACUGGGUUUUUAAUUAGUACAGUAGUCUUUCCUUAAUUACAGGGGAUACAUUCUAAGACACCCUGUAGGUGGCUGAAACCACAGGCAGUACUGACCCUAUUGCCAUCAAGUGGAACAUGUUUCGGUUCAUGUCUUCUAUCCACAAAUGUAGAGCCUUUUUCAUUUUAACUAAGCACUUAACACGCACCGCAGCUGUAACUUUUGCAGUUUGAGGUGUGACAGCAAAACUAGCAUGAAUUUCUUUUUUUCUUCACAAUUUCUUGAGUAGAAGACUGAAUCUUAGCAGCCUCAGCACACAAUUUUUUUUCUUUCCUGAAGCCGAGAACUUUCCUCUUUUCACUUAAAGGCAGCACUCUAUGGCUUCUGUUUAGUACAUCGACGUUGCCAGCAUUACUACUCUUGCGCUCCAGGACCAUUAUGCAGUAAAAUCAGGGUGAUCUGAACACAAGCAUGGUGGCACCACCAUAGUCGAUCUGAUCUCUGAGGUUGCUGCUCAGUGAGUCAUGAGUGGGGAGCAUGGAUAGCGUGGAUCCGCUGGACAGAGGCUGAUUCACUUCCCAGGAAUGAACGUGGAAGUGUAUCCAACUGGAAGAAUAAGUCCAAACCAAGGAGAUUUUGAGAGUCAAACUUAGGGAAAACCAAGAAGAAACUAAAAGUCCAGAGAUUGAACCACCAAAUACAAGAGAUACUUUCCGAGUUUAAGGAGAACCCGAAGAAAGCUGCGUUUCUGUAUCCGUGCCAUGGGAAGUCUCCUGUCCUGUUUCCACUCUGCCUUCUCCAUAAAGCAGGCUGAUUAUCAGGGCCCUCACACAAGCCCAGCGUGGUAGCUGAUUAAGGCUUGACAAGCAAAAAGCAAACAGGAUUUCUAAUCAUGUGUCUCAUAGAAAUGGAGCCACAAAAACCCAAAGAAUUGCCAUUACACCCCAAGUCAUGCAAUUUAGAGCAACUCAGGAAAUAGGUGCACACAAGCAAACCAUGUGGUUAAAGCCUUUGGAACUGGUUUGAGCAAAGCUGUAGGUGAUUUGACAAAAUCAUCUGCAAAACCAGAUUUCUAACACCUCCCUGCUGUGUAUCUCAUUUCUGCUGAUGUGUGGUGCUUCAUAAGAUGGGGACGUUAAGCAUGCAGCAACUACAGUCAUUUGUUCUCAGAGGUCUGGACCAAAGAGAAACAAGAAAAGCUGGAGUCACACUACCAAAGGCCGAAGCUGAGCAACAGAGCUCUGGAGUCAGCUGCCUGGGUUCAGCAUGCAGCGCUGCCGUGGACGAUCUGUCUCUCUUGCAUAUAUGACUUACCAGUUUUACUUUCAGUCUCUCCAUUUCUAAUUAAAUGAGAUGCAGAAAUGCUGGUGCCUUGCUAUGAUGUUUGCAGUUAUUAUUUCUAGGAAAAAAAAUAUUAUUGUUACUCAGUAUCUGGUACAUCAAAACUAAGCCAGAAACGUUUAAAAAGAACAAAAGUAUCAUUUCUACUUAAUUCUCUAGCUACUUGGACAACUGGACUAUGCCCCUCCUUUCAAGGGAGGGCAAAGCAUUUCAGAAAAGAACUAAGUGCUAUUUCUCUGCUUCAGGAAUGUCUCCCGUAUGUAAAAGAAUGUGGCUUCAGGGAGUAGCAUGUGUUGUAAAGGUGGAUGGGUCUAACUUCAUGGACAGCUCUGACAUCCACUAGCUAUGCCACCUGAUGCAAACCACUUGGGCUGUCUGUAGUUUCGUUUAUCUUUCUGGAAUUGGUAAUAACAACCACCUGGCAAGAUCACUGUUAUGAAUACGGAGGAUCAAAGUUGUGAAGUUAUUUUGUAAAGUGAAAUGUUCUGAAAAUUGGAUUUUAACAGUGUCAGCGAAAAGUAGAUUUUUGACAUUUAUCAAGAGUUCAGCUAAUGAAAACAAGUAUGGAUAAUAGUUACAUAGAACUGUCUACUUUACUCAGUACUUUAGCAUAUGCUAUUAUAUUUAAUCUUCUUAAAAAGUAGAAAAUUAUACAAGCCAUGUAUUACUAUUAUUGUGGUGGUUGUCGUUCUCAAUUACACACUGAAUAUUAAGACCUCUCAGGUAGCAGCUGGAAGGACAUUGUAUCCAGUUUCCUGAUUGUUUUCAAUGGAAUAAUCAUGUAUACAUGCACUACUAAUGAGACAAUGGUGAUUCUAAAAGCUUAAUCAGGGGGACUUUUGUGUAUUCCAAAUCUACUAAAAAUAAAGAAACACAGAAAUGAGAAAAAUGUACAUUAGCAAGAAAAUGUACACCAGCAUUCAGGCUUAGCCUUUUGAGAGCAAUAUGAUAAAUAGAAAUAGAAUUUCACAAAUUUAACAUGAUGCUAAUCGAGGAAUGAAUGAAAAAGUGGUCAGCAGUCUAAAUGGAACAUAACACAAAGAGAUCUCGUAAACAGUAAGCUUUGUGCAGGACAUCUCUUGGGGGUCCCAGGUGUUGGGAGAGUCAGGGAGAGAUGUCUACUGUUUGAACAGCAAUAAUACAAAGUUGAAGUGGGACAAUAUUCACCACCGUAGCUUGAUGGAAUUAGCCUUUCAAAAGAUUGAGUUUAUUUAUUUAGAAAUUGCCUUACCCCCUUUUUAUAAAUGUGGCAAAUCAGCAAAGACGGUGACAUUCUUUUAAUUCAAAACAUCCGUUCAAUCUACAGUCUGCUCUCCUAGAUGGAUUUUAAGAGUGGGGGUUUGUCUUCCAACUAAUGUUUGUCUUCCAACUAAUGUUCCCCUGUCAAUUAACUAUCAUUUCCUGUUCUUAUUAAUCAAUUAGAUCUUUUCCACUGCCUCAGACUAUUCUUCAUUCAACAUUUGUUUUUUAUCUAAAAUGUCCCAGACUGUUCUAAGCAUUAAGAGUAAAAUGUCUUAGAAGAAAUAAAUCAAGUUGAGUGGGUAUCAUAAACCACUCAACUAGUGGCCGAGUCAGAAAUCUAAAUGAUGUUUUUGAGGAAUCUUCCUCCGCCUCCCCUUUACCUAUCCAGUCAUCCACCAACCUUGC